UACAGAGGUCUCAAGCGUUGUUCGGAUUCAUUGGGCGUAAAGGGUGCGUAGGCGGCGCGGUAAGUCGGGGUGUGAAAUCUCGGAGCUUAACUCCGAAACUGCAUUCGAUACUGCCGUGCUUGAGGACUGGAGAGGAGACUGGAAUUUACGGUGUAGCGGUGAAAUGCGUAGAUAUCGUAAGGAAGACCAGUGGCGAAGGCGGGUCUCUGGACAGUUCCUGACGCUGAGGCACGAAGGCCAGGGGAGCAAACGGG
rnacentral:rRNA from 1 species